ensembl:lncRNA
GUUUUUAUGAAGACAGAAGCCUUCUCUGUGCUGUAUGAAGAUCUCCUGCCUGGUACUGACACUCAGAAACAGACCGUCGUCAUUAAUUAUCACUUUGGCAAUAACCUCAAAGUCUGGGAACUUUGCACAAUGACACCAGUUCAGUUUUGCCCUUUUUCUAAAUGUCAAAAACACACACACACACACACACACACACACACACACACACACACACACACACACACACACACACACACACACACACACACACACACACACACACACACACACAGAGAGAGACAAUAUAAUUAAGGAAUAGAAGGAAAUAGGACAAGACUAGACAAACAACCUUCUCAUCAAUCAAGUUUUUCAUUAUUGUUUUUAUCCUUACACACAGUAUAUUGUGUAUUCAUAGGACUAUAUAUGUCUAACCCAGAAGUGAGGGUGAGGGCAUCAUGCCUUACUGUCCGGCGUCUCCAAACAGGAAACUUGAGCGGAGAGAUAACCCACGUUUGCUAAUCUGGUUCGGACUGGUUAGACUCUGGCUCCAAUUAAUUCUAGUCGUUCAGAUGUUUUUGUGUUUGUGUAUUAUGUCCUCAUGUUUAAACAACCCUGGUGUAGGUUUUAAUCGAGCACAAUCGUUUGCUAGAUUGACCUGAUACCAGAAUUUGUACAUUUUUAAGCAGAAGACACUUUUUUAUUCAGGAAGCAGCAAUACAACACGCCCGAAUCCGAUACAAACCACUGAUUCAUCUGAGGGACGGUUUAAAAUGUCAGACCCAGGGAGGGGAACAGAGAAAUGUAAUCUACGUGACAUUUUACUUGGCAAACACACAAAUAACAAACGAUUAUCUGUUUACAUAAAAUCAAAUCCAUCAAAAUAUAAUGAUUGACAGUCCAGUCAACAACAACAGUAUUAUUUAUUAUAGUCUGUAUAUAUUUCUUCAACAUUGCACCACCUGUGAACAGUUAUCACCAGUUUGAGGUGCUAAUGGUACCGGUGGUGGUGGUGGUGCUGGUGGUGUUGGUGCUGCUGAUGGAGCGAUCAUCACCGGGACUGAAGACUAGUGACGUCUCACUUGGGGUAUUUGACAAACUGACACUCUGUCUUUUAGUGUCCAGCUCAGCUUGUCAAAUACACUAAGUGGGACGCCGCCUCCUGAAGGAGGUGGAGGAGCCUCAGCCUGCACCUGGAGGAGGUGGAGGAGCCUCAGCCUGCACCUGGAGGAGGUGGAGGAGCUUCAGCCUGCACCUGGAGGAGGUGGAGGAGGAGGUGGAGGAGGUUCAGCCUGCUCCUAAAGGUGGAGGGAAAAACUAGAUUAUAAGAAAUAAAUACAAAUAGACACUCAGCAUUACUACUGGGUAAUGUUUAGUCAUUUAGCAGGUAGGGGUUAGACAGUACAGAGACAAGUCAUUAAGGAGCAGGUAGGGGUUAGACAGUACAGUGACAGGUCAUUGAGGAGCAGGUAGGGGUUAGACAGUACAGGUCAGACUGUGGAUGUAGGGGAUCAAACCUUUGGCCUGGGAGUCAAACAGACUAACCAGUAGAAUAAUUCAGGCGGUGGUGGACGGCUCACCUGAGCGCUGGUUCCGUGGACCGUCGAAGGAUGAGCUGUGUUCUUCAGAGCGGUGGGUUCUUCAGAGCGGUGGGUUCUUCAGAGCGGUGGGUUCUUCAGAGCGGUGGGUUCUUCAGAGCGGUGGGUUCUUCUGAGCGGUUGGUUCUUCAGAGCGGUGGGUUCUUCAGAGAUGGGUUCUUCUGAGCGGUUGGUUCUUCAGAGCGGUGGGUUCUUCUGAGCGGUGGGUUCUUCUGAGCGGUGGGUUCCUCCCUGCAGAGAGGACGGCGGCUGACGUCUGAUCGGCCGAUGAUGUCUGCGCCGAAACAGUCAUCAUCGGCCGAAACCGUUUAGAGAAUUAUAUGUUCAACGGCAAAGAGGAAGCUGAAAGGAGGAAGAUAGCAGGCAGGAAGUAUGUGGACAGGCAGUGACAACAGCUCUCCGGAGUUGUGAAAUGAUCUCUGUUGCCGUCAUGGGUCGUUGUCUCGUGGUCAGGGUGGUGCAGGAGAAAGACACUUUAGGUUGAAGACCAGAGGUUAGAGAAGUAGAACGGGUACUUGCAUUUGAG